rnacentral:rRNA from 1 species
GACGAACGCUGGCGGCGUGCCUAAUACAUGCAAGUCGAACGAGAGCGACCGGUGCUUGCACUGGUCAAUCUAGUGGCGAACGGGUGAGUAACACGUGGGUAACCUGCUCAUCAGAGGGGGAUAACAUCCGGAAACGGAUGCUAAAACCGCAUAGGUCUUCGAGCCGCAUGGCUUGAAGAGGAAAAGAGGCGCAAGCUUCUGCUGAUGGAUGGACCCGCGGUGCAUUAGCUAGUUGGUGAGGUAACGGCUCACCAAGGCCGUGAUGCAUAGCCGACCUGAGAGGGUGAUCGGCCACAUUGGGACUGAGACACGGCCCAAGCUCCUACGGGAGGCAGCAGUAGGGAAUCUUCCGCAAUGGACGCAAGUCUGACGGAGCAACGCCGCGUGAGUGAAGAAGGUUUUCGGAUCGUAAAACUCUGUUGUUAGAGAAGAACAAGUGCUAGAGUAACUGUUAGCGCCUUGACGGUAUCUAACCAGAAAGCCACGGCUAACUACGUG